UCGCAAUGUCAUUGGAGCCCUUAUUACAAGCAAUACGCCAGAAUCCCGAUAUACAUUGCAGAGAGUAGAACACAAAUACACCGUACUGAACCCACUGUUCCCAUUCCACUGGUGCUCCGACAGAAUGAAAUAUCUCGGAGUCUGGGUGACUAAGGAGCCAUGAGAAUUCUACCAACACAACAUACCUCUGCUUAAUACACUGAUAGCCGACUUGGCUAGAUGGGCAUACCCACAUGUG